UGGGGAAUCUUGCACAAUGGGCGAAAGCCUGAUGCAGCGACGCCGCGUGAGCGAUGAAGCCCUUCGGGGUGUAAAGCUCUUUCGACGGGAACGAUAAUGACGGUACCCGGAGAAGAAGCUGCGGCUAACUACGUGCCAGCAGCCGCGGUAAUACGUAGGCAGCGAGCGUUGUUCGGAAUUACUGGGCGUAAAGAGUGUGUAGGCGGUGUUCCCAGUCUGUUGUGAAAUCUCCCGGCUUAACUGGGAGGGUGCAGCGGAAACUAGAAUGCUAGAGGGUGGGAGAGGUAAGCGGAAUUCCUGGUGUAGCGGUGAAAUGCGUAGAUAUCAGGAGGAACACCUGUGGUGUAGACAGCUUACUGGACCACUUCUGACGCUGAGACACGAAAGCGUGGGUAGCAAACAG
rnacentral:rRNA from 1 species